GAAAAACAUGACAUAACAGAGAUAAGUGUGUUUUUAAAAAUUAUUUUUGUAAUUUUUGUAAUGAAAAAGGCCACUUAGCCAAUAUUUGCCAGAAAAAACUUAAGAGGUGUAAUUAUUUUUUAAAUAAUAAUAAUUCUGAUUUAUCAUCUGAUGAAAAUAGUACUCUGCGACUGGAUAAGCAAGAGGGAGCCAAGCCCAAGUUUUGCAAAGCCUGUUCCAUUCCUUUUGCCUUAUGCCGAGGAGUUGAGGCGGAACUAGACCGACUUGUCACUGAAAACAUCUUGAGCCCAGUAUCAUACAGCAGUUGGGCAACACCCAUUGUACCAGUAGCUAAGAAAAAUGGAACCAUCAGAAUUUGUGGUAAAAACAACAUAGAAUUUAAAGAAAUUGCACCUUUUCAUCCAUCAUCUAAUGGUCAAGCUGAAAAUGCGGUUAAAACAGUUAAACAAGCAAUACUUAAGAUUUUAAAAAGGAGUUCAUUGUCAGAACUUAACCGUAAUUUAAACAAUUUUCUUUUAUCUUAUCGAAUUACACCACACUGUUCUACAGGAAAAUAUCCAGCCAAUUUAAUGUUUCAAAUAAACAUAAGAAGUGUUUAUGAUUUUUGGAAUAACAAUGUAAAUAUUGUAAAUCAUACAGCUAUUGAUGUAACAG